ensembl:lncRNA
CCAGUCUCCCUUUGCCACUGACUGAAGGAGCAUCUGUUAAAGACCUGAAUCUCCUGUGUCACACACAUACAGUUAGCUCAUGGAAAAGAAUCCAGUUCCUCCUCCUUACCCGGGAUUACCCACAGAUCCUGGCUAUGGUGCCGCUUAUCCGCCGUUACCUGCACACCAGCAAGGUCCAGGCCAAUUUCCCCCAACUCAAUAUGGAAUGAACCAGCCAGCCGCACCACACGUGGUGACGGUGUUGUUACAGCCAAAUUUGUCUGAUGUCCCUGGUCAGACACAGUGUCCUCACUGUCAGCAACAUGUUACGACUGCAACCAGACACACAAACGGCCUUCUGACCUGGCUCCUCUGUGGCGGCCUCUUCCUGUUCCUGUAAGUGGCCCAUUUGGGCUUGUGAAAAUCUGUUUGAAAAAUGAAAUUGCUUUUUGAC